rnacentral:rRNA from 1 species
UAGGGAAUCUUGCACAAUGGGCGAAAGCCUGAUGCAGUGACGCCACGUGAGUGAUGAAGGUCUUCGGAUUGUAAAGCUCUUUAGUCUAGGAAAAAGGGACGUGAUUGAAAGGUUAUGUUUCUGAUGGUACUAGAAGAAUAAGCACCUGCUAACUCCGUGCCAGCAGCAGCGGUAAUACGGAGGGUGCGAGCGUUAAUCGGAAUUAUUGGGCGUAAAGGGCGCGUAGGCGGAUUUUUAAGUCGGGUGUUUAAGACCAGAGCUCAACUCUGGAAAAGCAUUCGAUACUGGAAGUCUAGAGUAUCGGCGGAGAAAAUGGAAUUCCUGGUGUAACGGUGAAAUGUGUUGAUAUCAGGAAGAACAUCAAGAGCGAAGGCAGUUUUCUAGCCGAUAACUGACGCUGAGGCGCGAAAGCGUGGGGAGCAAACAGGAUUAGAUACCCAGGUAGUCCC